CUCCACCAUGUGAUUUCUAACGCGGAAAGGCUAAUUAGUGACUGUAGAGAAUGGACCAACUUUACCAAAUUGGCAUUACAUAAUCAACAAGUAAGAAGACUGACACUACUACUGAUACUUCUCUAGAUCAACAUCAUACAAGUCAGUUUCUGGAAUCCUCUUUCUUUGAACUUUCUCAAACCUUAUUAAUUAAGGUUUUGGUGGAGUUGUUAUUGUUAUAAAUACAAUCCCAACCACUCCAUUCAUCAUCUUAAGAGAAGUUGUUCAAUUUAUUGGUCUAAGAAUUGUGUUUCUUUUGUGAUUAAUUCUUAAGUUUAAGUGCAAGUGUAGCCAAGAGUUUUGCUAAUAGAUCAAGAUGAGUGAUCCCAAGUAUGCUUAUCCAUAUCCUGCUCAAGGUUACUAUCAAGGUCCUCCUGUAAUGGCACCACCACAAUAUUAUGCUCCACCACCAAGAAGAGAACCUGGUUUCAUUGAAGGAUGCCUUGCUGCUUUGUGUUGUUGCUGUCUCAUUGAUGAAUGCUGCUGUGAUCCUUCCAUCAUUUGUUUCUUUUAGUAUAAAAACAAGUACUAGUAGUGAAUUUACUAAGACUCCGUUUCAGUUUGUGUAUUGAAUUUGUGAUGGGGUUUGCUAUUGAGUUUUAAAAAACACUACUUCUUAUAAAUCUUUGGGUUGUCUUCAGAGCGUCUAAAGUUAAAUUUUGUGACCAAUUGUUUGCGGAA